AAAAAGAUAAGCUAAUUAAGCUACUGGGUUCAUACCCCAUUUAUGAAAGUCCUAAUCUUUCUCUUUUUA
rnacentral:tRNA from 1 species